UAUUUUUACCCAAAAAAAUUCGAUCUCUAUCCCUCUCUGCUUCCCUCCCUCUCUCUCGCCAAAAUGAGCGCCGCCUUCCUCCUCUCGUCGUCGUCGUCAUCGUCAUCACCGUCGUUGUCGGAUCUCUCUCGCCACCUCCUCCUCUCCCCUAAAAUCCCAAGGUCAUCAUCGUCGGAGUUCUCUUCCCUGAUUCGAGCUCCUCUCGUCGUCUUCGUCGCCGACCGCUCGAUUAGACAUUGCUGUCGCCGCCGCUCGAAGCUUUGUCGCUCCCUCCUCCUCUUCGGUGAAAACCCUAACCCUAACCCUAACCCCACUCCUUCCCUCAAAAACCUAAUCACCACUUUGGCCUUCUCCUCUCUGCAUUCGAUCUUUUUUCUGCUGAAGCUAGGAUUUGCGAUUGGACAGUGGAUAACAAUGCCAUCUUUGAUUUGUGCUGGAUAAAGGAUGGCAUUCAACUAUUAACUUCCUCGGGUGAUCAGACAGUAAGUUAUAAAAACCUUUGGAACUUCCAACCAAGGAGCACAUAUAGUUUUUCUUCUAGGAGCAUAAAGAAACACACAUUGAUUUUCCCCCUAUAAAACUGACUUGACUUAUUUACACUACCAUUUUCAUCUGAUAUAUUUCUUGUAUGUAUGAUCUGUGGAUUCACCUAUUUCAUGUCUUUGCAUACUUGCAUCCGGAUUAAACUGUUAUGGAUCUUUGUAUGACAUCUUCUUUAUCUUAAAUGUUUUCCUUCAUCGGCAAAUUCACUACUUUAUGCAAAUUGGAU